rnacentral:rRNA from 1 species
GACAGAGGGUGCAAACGUUGUUCGGAAUUACUGGGCGUAAAGCGCGUGUAGGCGGCUCGAUAAGUCGGAUGUGAAAGCCCUGGGCUCAACCUAGGAAGUGCAUUCGAAACUGCUGAGCUUGAGUUCUGGAGAGGAAGGCGGAAUUCUCGGUGUAGAGGUGAAAUUCGUAGAUAUCGAGAGGAACACCGGUGGCGAAGGCGGCAUUCUGGACAGCAACUGACGCUGAGACGCGAAAGCGUGGGGAGCAAACAGG